GGGUUGUGAGGUUAAGCGACUAAGCGUACACGGUGGAUGCCCUGGCAGUCAGAGGCGAUGAAGGACGUGCUAAUCUGCGAUAAGCGUCGGUAAGGUGAUAUGAACCGUUAUAACCGGCGAUUUCCGAAUGGGGAAACCCAGUGUGUUUCGACACACUAUCAUUAACUGAAUCCAUAGGUUAAUGAGGCGAACCGGGGGAACUGAAACAUCUAAGUACCCCGAGGAAAAGAAAUCAACCGAGAUUCCCCCAGUAGCGGCGAGCGAACGGGGAGGAGCCCAGAGCCUGAAUCAGUGUGUGUGUUAGUGGAAGCGUCUGGAAAGGCGCGCGAUACAGGGUGACAGCCCCGUACACAAAAAUGCACAUGCUGUGAGCUCGAUGAGUAGGGCGGGACACGUGGUAUCCUGUCUGAAUAUGGGGGGACCAUCCUCCAAGGCUAAAUACUCCUGACUGACCGAUAGUGAACCAGUACCGUGAGGGAAAGGCGAAAAGAACCCCGGCGAGGGGAGUGAAAAAGAACCUGAAACCGUGUACGUACAAGCAGUGGGAGCACGCUUAGGCGUGUGACUGCGUACCUUUUGUAUAAUGGGUCAGCGACUUAUAUUCUGUAGCAAGGUUAACCGAAUAGGGGAGCCGAAGGGAAACCGAGUCUUAACUGGGCGUUAAGUUGCAGGGUAUAGACCCGAAACCCGGUGAUCUAGCCAUGGGCAGGUUGAAGGUUGGGUAACACUAACUGGAGGACCGAACCGACUAAUGUUGAAAAAUUAGCGGAUGACUUGUGGCUGGGGGUGAAAGGCCAAUCAAACCGGGAGAUAGCUGGUUCUCCCCGAAAGCUAUUUAGGUAGCGCCUCGUGAACUCAUCUCCGGGGGUAGAGCACUGUUUCGGCAAGGGGGUCAUCCCGACUUACCAACCCGAUGCAAACUGCGAAUACCGGAGAAUGUUAUCACGGGAGACACACGGCGGGUGCUAACGUCCGUCGUGAAGAGGGAAACAACCCAGACCGCCAGCUAAGGUCCCAAAGUCAUGGUUAAGUGGGAAACGAUGUGGGAAGGCCCAGACAGCCAGGAUGUUGGCUUAGAAGCAGCCAUCAUUUAAAGAAAGCGUAAUAGCUCACUGGUCGAGUCGGCCUGCGCGGAAGAUGUAACGGGGCUAAACCAUGCACCGAAGCUGCGGCAGCGACGCUUAUGCGUUGUUGGGUAGGGGAGCGUUCUGUAAGCCUGUGAAGGUGUACUGUGAGGUAUGCUGGAGGUAUCAGAAGUGCGAAUGCUGACAUAAGUAACGAUAAAGCGGGUGAAAAGCCCGCUCGCCGGAAGACCAAGGGUUCCUGUCCAACGUUAAUCGGGGCAGGGUGAGUCGACCCCUAAGGCGAGGCCGAAAGGCGUAGUCGAUGGGAAACAGGUUAAUAUUCCUGUACUUGGUGUUACUGCGAAGGGGGGACGGAGAAGGCUAUGUUGGCCGGGCGACGGUUGUCCCGGUUUAAGCGUGUAGGCUGGUUUUCCAGGCAAAUCCGGAAAAUCAAGGCUGAGGCGUGAUGACGAGGCACUACGGUGCUGAAGCAACAAAUGCCCUGCUUCCAGGAAAAGCCUCUAAGCAUCAGGUAACAUCAAAUCGUACCCCAAACCGACACAGGUGGUCAGGUAGAGAAUACCAAGGCGCUUGAGAGAACUCGGGUGAAGGAACUAGGCAAAAUGGUGCCGUAACUUCGGGAGAAGGCACGCUGAUAUGUAGGUGAAGCGACUUGCUCGUGGAGCUGAAAUCAGUCGAAGAUACCAGCUGGCUGCAACUGUUUAUUAAAAACACAGCACUGUGCAAACACGAAAGUGGACGUAUACGGUGUGACGCCUGCCCGGUGCCGGAAGGUUAAUUGAUGGGGUUAGCGCAAGCGAAGCUCUUGAUCGAAGCCCCGGUAAACGGCGGCCGUAACUAUAACGGUCCUAAGGUAGCGAAAUUCCUUGUCGGGUAAGUUCCGACCUGCACGAAUGGCGUAAUGAUGGCCAGGCUGUCUCCACCCGAGACUCAGUGAAAUUGAACUCGCUGUGAAGAUGCAGUGUACCCGCGGCAAGACGGAAAGACCCCGUGAACCUUUACUAUAGCUUGACACUGAACAUUGAGCCUUGAUGUGUAGGAUAGGUGGGAGGCUUAGAAGUGUGGACGCCAGUCUGCAUGGAGCCGACCUUGAAAUACCACCCUUUAAUGUUUGAUGUUCUAACGUUGACCCGUAAUCCGGGUUGCGGACAGUGUCUGGUGGGUAGUUUGACUGGGGCGGUCUCCUCCUAAAGAGUAACGGAGGAGCACGAAGGUUGGCUAAUCCUGGUCGGACAUCAGGAGGUUAGUGCAAUGGCAUAAGCCAGCUUGACUGCGAGCGUGACGGCGCGAGCAGGUGCGAAAGCAGGUCAUAGUGAUCCGGUGGUUCUGAAUGGAAGGGCCAUCGCUCAACGGAUAAAAGGUACUCCGGGGAUAACAGGCUGAUACCGCCCAAGAGUUCAUAUCGACGGCGGUGUUUGGCACCUCGAUGUCGGCUCAUCACAUCCUGGGGCUGAAGUAGGUCCCAAGGGUAUGGCUGUUCGCCAUUUAAAGUGGUACGCGAGCUGGGUUUAGAACGUCGUGAGACAGUUCGGUCCCUAUCUGCCGUGGGCGCUGGAGAACUGAGGGGGGCUGCUCCUAGUACGAGAGGACCGGAGUGGACGCAUCACUGGUGUUCGGGUUGUCAUGCCAAUGGCACUGCCCGGUAGCUAAAUGCGGAAGAGAUAAGUGCUGAAAGCAUCUAAGCACGAAACUUGCCCCGAGAUGAGUUCUCCCUGACUCCUUGAGAGUCCUGAAGGAACGUUGAAGACGACGACGUUGAUAGGCCGGGUGU
rnacentral:rRNA from 1 species